CCUACGGGAGGCAGCAGUGGGGAAUUUUGGACAAUGGGCGCAAGCCUGAUCCAGCAAUGCCGCGUGAGUGAAGAAGGCCUUCGGGUUGUAAAGCUCUUUUGUCAGGGAAGAAACGGUGAGGGCUAAUAUCCCUUGCUAAUGACGGUACCUGAAGAAUAAGCACCGGCUAACUACGUGCCAGCAGCCGCGGUAAUACGUAGGGUGCAAGCGUUAAUCGGAAUUACUGGGCGUAAAGCGUGCGCAGGCGGUUUUGUAAGUCUGUCGUGAAAUCCCCGGGCUCAACCUGGGAAUUGCGAUGGAGACUGCAAGGCUAGAAUCUGGCAGAGGGGGGUAGAAUUCCACGUGUAGCAGUGAAAUGCGUAGAGAUGUGGAGGAACACCGAUGGCGAAGGCAGCCCCCUGGGUCAAGAUUGACGCUCAUGCACGAAAGCGUGGGGAGCAAACAGGAUUAGAUACCCUGGUAGUCCACGCCGUAAACGAUGCAUACUAUUAGUAUGGGGUAUCGACCCCCUGUGCUGAGAAGCUAACGCGAUAAGUAUGCCGCCUGGGGGAGGAGAGCGCGAGACGUUAACUACGAGAAGUAGACGGCGNGAGACGUUGCCGACGGACGACGACGAGGGAGGAGGG
rnacentral:rRNA from 1 species